AAGAAUCAGCCCCUGAGGUCUCCAGGAAGUACCUUGAUUUGAAAGAGCUGUGACCAACCUCAGUGGCAUGUCCAACUACCACGCUGCAGAAGUCUGUGAGGCCGUGGUCCUCAGCCCUUUGCACAGAUUAAAACCCCAAUCCCAGCCGCACCCCAGACCAAUCAAUCAGGAUCUCUGGAGAUGGGGCCCAGGCAUCUAUAUAUAUGUAUAUAUAUAUAUUUUUUUAAUUCCUCAGAUGAUUCCAAUGUACAGCCAAUGAUGAGCAGCUGCUGGGCUGAAGGGACUGGGGCCAUUUUAUACCAGUUGUAGGAUGUUACACAGAAAUGCCUGAAAAGCAAGGAGCAGCUAUCAGAAUGUUUGGUGACACAGCUCCUCCUGUCGUGGUUCCUUCGGCAUGGACUUCACAUUCAGCAGAUCCAUGAGGUGUUCCCUUUCGGAUGAGCUCCAAGGUCUUAAGAGAGCAUCUCUAGUCUGCGUGAGUCCGUCUGAACGACGGUCCUGAGCAAGAACCACCUAUAACCAUCUGCUCAAAAUAACUCAGGGGAAGUCAAAGCUUUCUAUGUGGAAGGUGACUGAAACCACAUACACAGACCACUGCAGCAUUCCUGACAUUAUGGAACUUGGAAAUGAUUCCAAACAUGGCCAUAGCUUGAGUAACAUGUUUUGCUAUGACAAGAACUUGGACUGUAGUCCUUCCCCCUCUCAAGAAUGUGACAUCACACCUUAUCAGAUCCUACGAGUGAGCUACUGACCUCAACCACUGAACUUCAAACUAUGUAAAAACCUAAGGGUUCGACAGACAC
rnacentral:lncRNA from 1 species